rnacentral:rRNA from 1 species
UACGGAGGAUCCAAGCGUUAUCCGGAUUUAUUGGGUUUAAAGGGUGCGUAGGCGGAAUUGUAAGUCAGUGGUGAAAGCCCUUCGCUUAACGAAGGAACUGCCAUUGAUACUGCAAAUCUUGAGUACAUUUGAUGUGGGCGGAAUGUGUCAUGUAGCGGUGAAAUGCUUAGAUAUCGUCAAGAACACCUAUUGCGAAGGCAGCUAACUAAGCUUUAACUGACGCUGAUGCACGAAAGUGUGGGGAUCAAACAGG